GUAAUAUCAGGCAUCCUGGCGAGGAAAUUAUAUCCAGAAAUACAUUUGUUCGUGUUUUCUUUGGUGUGUGAGAGUGGCAGGAAUGGAACAGGAGCCUAGCACAAGUACUGAAGAUGCUGUAGUUCUAAACUCUAUGCCCACACUUUUCCUUAUUAUCAUUUCUUUUUCAGUGAAUGUCUUACUUGGAUACCCAGGAUGCUGUUGAACUGGCCCUGCAGCCCAAGCAGGCUUGAAACAUAGUUUGUGAACACAAGCCUCAUAGACAGCUGAGUUGAUGAAGUUGCCUUGCAAGUUGCUGCUUAUGCUUUCUGGCAGAGACAGGUCAAGACUUCAAGGUGUCUCAAAGAGAUCUUCAAGAACACAAUUUUCCAUAUCUGGGAAAGUUCCAGAAUGAUUCUGACUCAGGAUGCAGGAUGUCUGAUCAUCUUCUCCACAGCUACAGAGAUAGUACAAACCAGUUUCCUCGUUAUUACUGAUGGAACAAGGUAUCACAAUGAUACAUCUACACCAUGGAAUACUAUUCAGCUAUUAAAAACCAAGACAUCAUGCAGGCAAAUGAAUGGAACUUGAGAGUAUCAUCCUAAAUAAGGUAACCCUGUCC
rnacentral:lncRNA from 1 species